GCAAACUUGGUCAUUUAGAGGAAGUAAAAGUCGUAACAAGGUAACCGUAGGUGAACCUGCGGUUGGAUCAUUAACGAAUGUGAUGCUGCAGAUGCAUGCUGGGUGUGUGCGUACCGGGCAGUUUUAUGCUGCACGGCGGCGCACGCACCCGCUGCUCUGUGCUUUUUCACCUUUUGUGAACCGUUUAACAACACUAUUAACGUUUCUACGAUUGCACACGCAAUCUGGAUCUGUCAUUUGAUCUAGUCUGAAUAAAGUUUUACACGUUUACAACACUAAACGAAAACAACUUUUGGCAACGGAUCUCUUGGCUCUCGCAUCGAUGAAGAACGCAGC
rnacentral:misc_RNA from 1 species